rnacentral:lncRNA from 1 species
GGCAGAACACAGUCUACGCUCGUUACAACGGACCCGCGUACAACAGACUUUCGGAUAUAACGGACCAUAUUUCAACCUUAGUUUUCUCUACCUAUUUUAGUAAUGCAACAAAGUUCACUUUUAACGGACUGUGCUACAACGGACUAUCCGCUACAUGAGAUGACAUUAGUGGCAAUUU